rnacentral:rRNA from 1 species
GAUGAACGCUGGCGGCGUGCCUAAUACAUGCAAGUCGAGCGAACGGACGAGAAGCUUGCUUCUCUGAUGUUAGCGGCGGACGGGUGAGUAACACGUGGAUAACCUACCUAUAAGACUGGGAUAACUUCGGGAAACCGUAGCUAAUACCGGAUAAUAUUUUGAACCGCAUGGUUCAAAAGUGAAAGACGGUCUUGCUGUCACUUAUAGAUGGAUCCGCGCUGCAUUAGCUAGUUGGUAAGGUAACGGCUUACCAAGGCAACGAUGCAUAGCCGACCUGAGAGGGUGAUCGGCCACACUGGAACUGAGACACGGUCCAGACUCCUACGGGAGGCAGCAGUAGGGAAUCUUCCGCAAUGGGCGAAAGCCUGACGGAGCAACGCCGCGUGAGUGAUAAAGGUCUUCGGAUCGUAAAACUCUGUUAUUAGGGAAGAACAUAUGUGUAAGUAACUGUGCACAUCUUGACGGUACCUAAUCAGAAAGCCACGGCUAACUACGUG